UGGGGAAUAUUGGACAAUGGGCGAAAGCCUGAUCCAGCCAUGCCGCAUGAGUGAAGAAGGCCUUUGGGUUGUAAAGCUCUUUUAGUGAGGAAGAUAAUGACGGUACUCACAGAAGAAGUCCUGGCUAACUCCGUGCCAGCAGCCGCGGUAAUACGGAGAGGGCUAGCGUUAUUCGGAAUUAUUGGGCGUAAAGGGCGCGUAGGCUGGUUAAUAAGUUAAAAGUGAAAUCCCGAGGCUUAACCUUGGAAUUGCUUUUAAAACUAUUAAUCUAGAGAUUGAAAGAGGAUAGAGGAAUUCCUGAUGUAGAGGUAAAAUUCGUAAAUAUUAGGAGGAACACCGGUGGCGGAGGCGUCUAUCUGGUUCAAAUCUGACGCUGAAGCGCGAAGGCGUGGGGAGCAAACA
rnacentral:rRNA from 1 species